UACGGAGGGGGCUAGCGUUGUUCGGAAUUACUGGGCGUAAAGCGCACGUAGGCGGCUUUGUAAGUUAGAGGUGAAAGCCCAGAGCUCAACUCUGGAAUUGCCUUUAAGACUGCAUCGCUAGAACGUCGGAGAGGUGAGUGGAAUUCCGAGUGUAGAGGUGAAAUUCGUAGAUAUUCGGAAGAACACCAGUGGCGAAGGGGCUCGCUGGACCGGAACUGACGCUGAGGCGCGAAAGCGUGGGGAGCAAACAGG
rnacentral:rRNA from 1 species